GGGGCUGUAGCUCAGCUGGGAGAGCGCCUGCCUUGCACGCAGGAGGUCAGGAGUUCGAUCCUCCUCAGCUCCA
rnacentral:tRNA from 1 species